UGGGAAGGAAGAGCCGGGUCAAUAAUUGGGCCCAGGUCUUGCACUCACACUGCAAUCAGACUGACUCUACUUUCGUCUGUUUUAGUCAUUUGAGCUUCUAAGAUGCUCAGUCAUUUGAGCUGCUAAAAAUGUUUGAGAAACUACAAUGGACAAGACUUUCUGUAAAGGAGUUUCCAUGUUUAAUGCCCUCUGCCUUUAUUCUUCUUGCCAUCUUGCCUAUCCACAGCAAGCCUCAGUUCUAGGCAUAGCCUGCCAUUCCUGAUCUUGGAAGGACAUUUGAGCACGGGGUGAGAGAUGGACAUCCCUUGAAAGGGGACUACAGUUCGGGUCUUUGCACGUGGUGGAGGUUGCUAAAGUGGAAGCCAAAAUCCCUUUCCUCUUCAGGUAGGAGGAGGUCACUGUCUGUCCCCAAGACCCAAGACAUGGGCCUUGGUCUAGGGAGCUGAUAUGGUUUGAAUCUGUGUCCCUGCCCAAAUCUCAUGUCAAAUUGGAGGAGGGUACUGGUGGGAGGUGACUGGAUCAUGAGGGUGGAUUUCCCCCUUGCUGUUCUCAUGAUAGUGAGUUCUUAUAAGAUCUGAUGGUUUAAAAGUGUGUGGCACUACCCACUUUGCUUUCUCUCUCCUUCUGCCAUGUGAAGAAGGUGCUUCCUUCCCCUCUGCCUUUUGCCGUGAUUGUAAGUUUCCUGAGGCCUCCCAGCCAUGCUUCCUGUACAGCCUGCAGAACUCAGUGUGAGAAGGGAUCAAUACAGGAGCCAUGGAUUUCAAGGGCCCUCCCUCACCCCUCCUUAGCCCACAUCUGCAGGGCCUCCGUGCUGCAGGCAAACAUAGGCUCCUGAAGAAGAUCACAUCAGACACAGGCGGACAGGCAGAUGGUCCAGCGGGGCAGAACAGAUGCGGCCCCCACUGAGUAUUGCAGAAGAGGAGCUGGUGCUACCAACCUGCGAGGCCCAGAGAGUGCAAAGCCAGUUCCAGGAAGACUCUGCCUCCGCUUACCGGCCCUCUUUCCCACCUUCCUCCUGCCCUACCCACACCCAGGAGGGGUCAGAAAACGGCUUGUAAAUGGGAGGGUGGGGGCUGGAAGACAGAAGGCCAAGAAGAACAAAGAAACCGGCCAUGUCCCACCCCCUGCCCCUCCCACUGCAGGUUCCAGCCCUGAGUGUGGCAUGGGGAAAAGAUGUGCCAUUGAAUCAAUUUCAGAAUUUUAAUGAACAUCUUGUCUGUGACAUAGGAGUGAGCAGAAAAGACAUGAGACCUGCCUGAGUUUUCAGCUCAUAAAGCCAGCAAAGAUUACUCCCAUGGUGCAGUUUAAAGGGGCUGUGUGAUACAAAAAUAAAGUGUUUUCAAUAGACCCAAACCCUGCUUGUUCUGGGGCCUGUCCCCAUAAAUGUGGGCUAAAAUUAUCAUUCCCACACCUUUGUGAUCUCGUUCACCUCGAUGGGACACACCGCUAGUCAUGUACUCACAGGACCACAUGCAUUCUUCUGCCUUGGGUCUUCCUUCUGUU
rnacentral:lncRNA from 1 species